AAUUUUUGGCUUACUGCUGUAGUUUAUCCAGCCAUCCCAAUUGUCAUUUUAAAUGUUUAUGAUGUUAUUAUUUUGUACUUGAGGGAAACUUUUCCUUUGGUUAUGACUUGAGAUUAUGUACUAUGCCAUCUGAGAUUUUGAGUAGUCAAACCUGAAGUUGUUGCCUGAUAAUCAUUGCCUGGUUUUUGUUUCUUCUUUCUUGUGACAUCUGUAUUUCUAAAGCGCCUGUGCAUGAGGUGAAUUCUUUGUAUGCAUAGAACACUGUCUUUGGAUUUCUCUGG
rnacentral:misc_RNA from 1 species